GGGCCGGUCGUCCAGUGGAUAGGAUAUCCGCCUGACACGCGGAAGGUCGAGGGUUCGAUCCCCUCCCGGCCCA
rnacentral:tRNA from 1 species